rnacentral:misc_RNA from 1 species
UUUCCGUAGGUGAACCUGCGGAAGGAUCAUUACUGAAUGAGACCUCCGGUUUCAAACACCUGCUGCUUUCAUCUGUGCGCAUUCGGGCUUGCACGUUGGAUGCGGCAUAUUCACAACACACCUGUGCACCUUUCAGACGUCUAGGGCUCAAAAGCCAUGGCGUUUGCCCCUUACACAAAUCACAGUCUUAGAAGGUCAUAUAAACAUAACAAUUACAACUUUCAACAACGGAUCUCUUGGCUCUC